rnacentral:rRNA from 1 species
GGCGGACGGGUGAGUAAUGCUUGGGAAUCUGCCCAAUAGCGGGGGAUAACUCGAGGAAACUCGAGCUAAUACCGCAUACGCCCUACGGGGGAAAGCGGGGGAUCUUCGGACCUCGCACUAUUGGAUGAGCCCGAGUCGGAUUAGCUUGUUGGUAGGGUAACGGCCUACCAAGGCGACGAUCCGUAGCUGGUCUGAGAGGACGAUCAGCCACACUGGGACUGAGACACGGCCCAG